rnacentral:rRNA from 1 species
UGGUGGAGUGAUUUGUCUGGUUAAUUCCGUUAACGAUCAAGACCCCUGCCUGCUAAAUAGUCCAAUGAGUAUUUUUUACUUGAUUGAUGACUGCUUAGAGGGAUGUGCAUUCUAUUAGAUGCAGGAGGAUAGGGGCAAUAACA